rnacentral:miRNA from 2 species
GUGCCUACUGAACUGAUAUCAGU